rnacentral:rRNA from 1 species
UACGUAGGGUGCAGGCGUUAAUCGGAAUUACUGGGCGUAAAGCGUGCGCAGGCGGCUCUUUAAGUCAGAUGUGAAAUCCCCGGGCUUAACCUGGGAACUGCGUUUGAAACUGAGGAGCUCGAGUGUGGAAGAGGGAGGUGGAAUUCCAGGUGUAGCAGUGAAAUGCGUAGAGAUCUGGAGGAACACCGAUGGCGAAGGCAGCCCCCUGGGCUAACACUGACGCUCAUGCACGAAAGCGUGGGGAGCAAACAGG